rnacentral:lncRNA from 1 species
GGUGCAGUUAAGCCAUGUGCAAAUAAGAACACACCUCAGCUAAGAAUGAGGCCUGGUGAUUCCAGCAGCUUCCCUGUGCUCUCUGUCUGUGUGAGGGGGCAUUCGCAGGGGCCGCGGGGACCCCACUGAGUACCUUCGUUCACCCACGGUUAAGAGAGCACCCCAUCUGUGAGGAGCCACGCGUAAACCCAAACGACCUACUCCUGAAGGGGAGAAACUUCUCCCCAGCGCAAGGCUUCCUGAGCGGUCCUCACGCGUGGGCUGAUCCCACAGCAUCUCGGGAGCAUGUCCUGGCCUCGUCCCCGAAGAGGAAGGGGUUGAUCCACCUUGCUGGGGCUGGAGAGAAUCAAGUGUAUAAGAACACAUUUAUUUAGGCACAUUGAUGUGCAUGCCUGUGAGAUUGCAGAGGCUGUCAGAGCUCGAGGUCCCAAGAGGCAGGAAGAAGUGUUGUCCUCCGUGUCCCCUGUGCCAUCAUCCACGUGCAGACUCACCGUCCCCCAUGACCGACACUGGAUGCGUGGAGAUGUGUGCAGCAAGCCAGAAGCAGUCGCAGCUGAAAAUGCAGUAACUAAAUGAAACAGGUAUUCAUGAAGUCUUGGGUGGACGAAUCACGGCUAUCUGGAAAAUGUGCUUGCCGCUGCUACAAGCCUUCCUUCCUUUUUUCUUUGACAAAGACAACAAAUGUUACAUGUCAUUUCUCAACCAUAAAAAUAUGUUUUAACACAAC